GGGCCAAUCGUAUAGUGGCUUAUUAUGCUGUCUUAGGGCUUUACCUCAUCUGAGGUUGCACUAAGUUGACAGAGGUCCCCGGUUCGAUUCCGGGUUGGCCCC
rnacentral:tRNA from 1 species